GGCCUUUUCGGGUUGAGGAUGGAGUCAAGCUCAACUCCCAGUCCUACUGCCAGUUCCUGGAAGACACCUUCUUCAAGCAGUGGUACAGGAAGAAGUCUGCAUCCUUCAAGAAAAACAUGAUUUUCAUGCAGGACAAUGCUCCAUCACUCGCGUCCAAGUACUCCACAGCGUGGCUGGCAAGAAAGGGUAUAAAAGAAGAAAAUCUAAUGACAUGGCCUCCUUGUUCACCUGAUCUGAACCCCAUUGAGAACCUGUGGUCCAUCAUCAAAUGUGAGAUUUACAAGGAGGGAAAACAGUACACCUCUCUGAACAGUGUCUGGGAGGCUGUGGUUGCUGCUGCAUGCAAUGUUGAUGGUGAACAGAUCAAAACACUGACAGAAU